GCUUUUUAACUAACUUUGUUGGUUUUUUGUCCUUAUUUAAUUCCCCAUUCUCGAUUCCAGACUAAGUUAACUCUCACAUAAAUGAUAUGAUAUUAUACGUAAAUGUACGAAAGCUUGGAUCCUCGAAUACGGAAAACCGGAAAUCUUUUCACCGUGGUCGUUUUUGUAUAAUAUGACGCGAAAGGACGCUCGUCUGCUGAUGUUUGAAAUG
rnacentral:lncRNA from 1 species